rnacentral:rRNA from 1 species
UACGAAAGGUGCAAGCGUUACUCGGAAUCACUGGGCGUAAAGCGCACGUAGGCGGACUCGUAGGUCAAUUGUGAAAUACCUGGGCUCAACCCAGGAACUGCAGUUGAAACCACUUGUCUUGAAUACCUGAGAGGGUGGGGGAAUACCUGGUGGAGAAGUGAAAUUCGUAGAGAUCAGGUGGAACACCGGAGGCGAAGGCGCCUGCCUGGCAGUGUAUUGACGCCGAGGUGCGAAAGUGCGGGGAGCAAACAGG